UAUAAAGUUGACAAUACAACGAUUACACUGACAGUAACUUGCGGAGGAAAUACGGGUGAUGUGUUCAUAAGUGUGACGCCUGUGAAUGAAUUUGCUCCAGUAUUUAUAAACAGUCCUUACAAUAUAACAUUACCAGAGUCCACGCGGGUUGGCACUGUGAUAUACAAACUGAAGCACAAAGUUAAAGAUGAAGAUGUGGGAGGCGUUCAAAACUUUUAUUUCCAAAUUCAUCCAUACAGUACAAAUGAUUACGACGGUUCCGCCUUUUUUAGUAUUCCUGCUUCUUCAACCGGAAAUAUUACACUACAAAAGGCGCUUGAUUUUGACACAACGGCAAAGAAUACCCGUUUCCUGAACCUUAGUGUAGCGGAUGGCCAAUCAGCUGACUCAAAAACAAAUCAGACCACAUUGCAAAUACAUAUAGAAGAUGUAGACGACCAAGUGCCGUUUUUCGAGUAUCCAAAUUGUCCAGCGCCGUGUCCAGCACCGGUAUUUGUGUCUGUUACGCGUCUGGCAU